rnacentral:lncRNA from 1 species
UUUUUUUUUUUUUUUCCGCUUCUUCAGGACAUUUAUUCCAUUACAGUAUACCAAAGCCACAGAGAACCUCAAAUUUGACCUUGCUUUCUCCUUUGAUCUGCCAACACAGGUCCUAAGUCCAAUCCAGAGCUGCUUUUGAUAGGAAAAAGAGUUAAUAGAGUGCUAUUUCUGCCUUUACAAAUCCUCCAAGGAGGUUUGGGCAAUACUGAGUUCCAGGCUUUGAGCACUCUCUAACUUGAAGGUACAAAGUCAGGAACUGAAUGAGAAACCCAGUUUCUUAAAAAAGUAAAAAUAAAGGAGCCAGCAAAACCCUUUACACAGGACAAUGACAUGAUGAAAUAGUGUCUCACUUUAUUGGAGAUCCAGAGCACGUGGUUGUUCACUGGAAAAUCAGAAAAGAAAACAACUAGAUUCCUGAAGGUUGUCGUCAACUUUCUGGCUGUUAUGGGGAGCGCGUAAUCAUAUAUUAUCACUUAGGAAGAACGGCGAGUGUUAAUUAAGGCUGCCUAGUAGCUUUAUUUUUUCCCCAAAGUUCUUUGAGGGCUAGCAACUCGUUUUGGUUUCAGGGGAACCUUGAGCUGUCGUUAAGGCAGGUUCUGCUUGUCCCAUUUGACAGGUUUGGUGAUUAGCAUGGGGGUUGCCCCGUAAGAAGUGGAGGAGUGAGGGUUGCGACCCAGAUCACCCGAUGUUCUGCAGGCUGCCCUGCCCUGCACAAGCUUCUAGCUCCCAGACAGGCACGGCAGGCCCAGAAAGGGGCCCAGCCUGGGGCAGGGGCGAAGCCCAUCGCAGCCCACAGUCCUUGGCGGUUUUCCGUCCCUUUCUGGGGACUCCCAGGGAAGACCAGCCACUGUCCCCAUCUUACAGCAGGCGGUCACCGGGAGCAUGAAGGACCAGGUGAUUUCACAGCAGCACGGGAACAGCCGCGAAAACUAAAACAAGGCUUGUUGACACUCCAAAAAUACUCCACUGAAAGCGCUGGCCAGCAUUGAAAAUAACGUGUCUGCUGGCUGCCCGCCCAGAGGAGCCAGGGAGGGGCCACUGAGCCACACUUCCGGCCCCACACCCUUUUAUUUUGGGAAAAUCAAACUCUUCCCACCACGAGCUUGCCUGUGGGAGGGAAGCUGAGGCUGCCAUUGUCCUGUGAGAUUUCGCUGGACGAUGCUCAGGUGCAGAAGCGGGAGCCGACCCUUCCAUUCAUUCCUUCGUCCACCCGCAGUCACGUGCGCCUCCCUCUGUGCGCCAAGCGCUGUCUGUGGCAUCAGGGCAGAUGGAGCAGGGUCCGCCGGACUCGGCUGGAAUCUGCUGUGCUGUGGACAGGCCUGGAGAGCUCGGGGAACCCUUUCCCUCUAGGAGAUGGGAGUGGGCUUAUUGUGCUGUGAGGGGAUAAAAAGGCAGGGAGAUCUUGUCUGUGCCAGGCACAUCCUGGGUCCCACGCAGAUGACCACCCUGAUUAGCACGUUAUCUGCACUCGCUCAUGCAGCCUCACCCCUGUGUGCGUGGCAGGAGGCCCUGGCCUUUAAUAUUCCUGCCGUCUGACAGCCCCACCUGCUUCAAAGCUUCCGCACGCUUCUUAACCCCUGGGCAGACCUGCAACCCCUAUCUGUGGCCUUGGCUCCCACUUCCAAGACCCUGAUGAGCUUUGCUGGGAGGGCCCAGUCGCUGCUUUCUUCUUGGAGGAAAGUGGCCCUUUCUGACCUCACUCAGCCUCCUGCUCCCCUGCCCUGGCUCUGGCCGGCCCACUUCUGGAACAAGCUCCUGCUUCCUCCUGGCCUUCCCAUCUCUGGUCUCUUCCUGAUCUGGAUCUUUCUCUCUCAAUCUCUCUUUUUUUUUUUUUGGAGAUAGGGGCUCACUCUGUUGCCCAGGCUGGAGUACACCGGUGCAAUCACAGCUCACGGCAGCCCGGACUUUGCAGGCUCCAGUCAUCCUCCCAUCUCAGCCUCCCGAGUAGCUGGGACGACAGGCCCAACUAAUAUUUGUAUUUUUGGUAGAGAUGGGGUUUCGCCAUGUUGCCAAGGUUGGUCUCCAACUCCUGAGCUCACACUUGAGCUCCACCUGCCUUGGCCUCCCAAAGUGCUGGGAUUACAGACGUGAGCCGCAGUGCCUGGCGACCCACAUCCCUU